rnacentral:lncRNA from 1 species
ACCCGGUGCGGCCCCUCGGCCUCGGCGGCAGCGGCUGCGGAGAAGGCGAGCGAAGCCCCCACCCCAGAGCCUGGAGUUGCAGAGGCAGCUACAGGAGGAGCAGGCCUCCUACCAGCGCAAGCUGCAGGCCUACCUGGAGGGCCAGCAGCGGCAGGCCCAGCUUGUGUGCAGCGGCUGCAGGGCAAGGUCAGGGCCACCCACUCCUGCUCCUGCCCUCCCACAUGUUCAUUUUGCCCUGCCCCCACCCAUGGGGGUCACCAUCAGCUCCCCAUCCCCACAUUCUCCAGUACAAGAAGAGGUACUCGGAGCUGGAGCAGCAGCUGCUGGAGAGAUCCGGAGAGCUGGAGCAGCAGCGGCUAAGGGACACAGAGCACAGCCAAGACCUGCAGAGUGCCCUCAUCCGGCUGGAGGAGGAGCCGCAGAGGAGUGCCAGCCUGGCCCAGGUGAAAGCCAUGCUCCGAGAACAUCUGGACCAGGCAGGCUCGGCCAACCAGGCUCUGAGUGAGGACAUACAAAAGGUGACCAAUGACUGGACACGCAGCCGCAAGGAGCUGGAGCAGCGGGAGGCGGCAUG